GUUAAAUAGCAAUUAAGCCACCAUUUGUGGCCAUUUAUAUUGUUUGCUUCAAUUCCAUUAAAUAGCAAUACACUCGUUGUUGGCCAAUUGUGUUAUUUUUUUGAAUUCCAUUAUAUAAUAACUCAAAAUUUUGAAGAAAAACAGUGUCAAAUUUAAUGCCAAAAUAUUAUAGUAAGUUACAAUUUGGAAAAACUAGAGUCUCAUUUCCUCUUAUUUUUUCCCUUUUAUACGUAUGCCACAAUUGAAUUUGAAAAUAUUGUCCAUGCAUUGCAAUGAAAGCUACAAUUAGAGAGAAAAUAUAAGUUAUAAAUAUGUAGAGGUAGAUUUUAAUCACAUCUAAUAUAAAUUUAUAAUAAGUUUUUAUAAUAAGUUACAAUUUGGAAAAACUAUAGUCCCAUUUCCUCUUAUUUUUUCCCUUCUGUACGUAUGCCACAAUUGAAUUUGUAAAUGUUGCCCAUGCAUUGGAAUGAAAGUUGCAACCAGAGAGAAAAUAUAAGUUAUAAAUCUGUAGAGGUAAAUUUUAAUCACAUGUAAUAGAAAUUUAUAAUAAGUUUUUAUAAUAUGUAGUAUAACUUAUAAUUUAUAGUAAGUAACUUUUUAUGUCCGUGUGUAAGUAGGGAGAAAUUAGUAAUUUUUAAUCACUUGACGAGGCAGGCGAAUGGCCAAGCAGUGCAAUAGUCAUAUUUAAAGUUUGAAUACCAAGAGUCAUAUUUCGUAGGAACCCAAGAGGCAUUGAAAGGAGUUUAAGAAAACUUUCAGUGCAGUGGUGCUAACAUUUGAAAAGUGACUGAUAUCUUCUAUUACUUUCAGUGUAUUGGUGCUACGGUUUCCUUGGUUUGAAUGAAGAUUGAAAAGUGUGGUGAAGCAGUGCAGUGGUGCAAAGGUUUUAAGGUACAUUAAAAAGGUGUGGUGAAGUAGUACAGUGGUGCAAAGGUUAUACGGUGCAUUAAAAAGGUCAGUUUUACUGCCUUGUGUGUAUUUAUAUUAUAUAUAAUCUAUCUAUGUAUUAUAUCAAUCUCUAAGUGUUAUGAUAUUAGAUUAUUGCCUUUUAAUAACUUAUUUGUCUUUGACUUAAUAAUAAAAACAUCAAUCCAAAUAUAGCCACAAAUUUUCUAACAUAAGCAUAUAUAAUACAUGAGCAUAUAUGAUCACAUAUGUUUUCCUGUACAAAUUUUCUAGCAUAUAAUUACACAGUGUCUUAUAAUUAUAUAGUUCAAAACUCUUCACAUAAUUAGACAGACAAAAAUCCUCAAAAAUUGAAAGCAACUAAAAAUUGUAUAAUAUAUCUAUUAGAGAAAUCAAAUAUGAUGAAUGAAAACAACUCAUAUAAUCGCAAUUUAUCGAGCAAGUUAACAAAAUGAGGUCUUAUUAUCUUAGCAUUCAGAAUUAAGGCAUAAAACAACUCAUGGCUAAAGAAUCUCUCUCCUAUAAAUUAAAAAAAAUAGUACUCAAAUAAUUUGUAGGCAUCUAAUAAAAAAUAAUAAUUGCUUUAGAAACCUCAGAACAAGAACUUCAUUCUUUUACAAUAAAAUCACUUGGCCAACCACUAAUUUAGCAGGUAAUUUCUUUGCAAGCUACCCCUCAUGUUCCUUGUCUCCAUGCCGGAAUAUAAUACAUUUUACUCUAAUCCAAGUUUGACCAAAAUCCCAAAAUACAAAGAACUCAAUGGAAAAUCAAUACACUCAUGGAGGUAGAAAAAUGUAGAUUGUACAUUAAAAUGUACUUCACAGUUUAUAUUGCUCCAGUCAUGAACUAAAAAACCAGUAACAUAUGCAAAUAUGGAUAACAUACUUCAAGCACACAAAAUUAAAUAAAAUCAUUUAAAAAGGCAACAAAAUUUCUAAAACAAAUAAAACCUAAUCCCUAUAGUCAAGCAAUAAUAAGAAGAUAUUUAUAUUUAUACAAGAAACUCAUCAACAGAUCUGAAACCUCAUUAAAUAAAAUAGAGUCUCGCACUUACAAAAGACACCCCCUUAUAUCUUUUCAUCUUUCUAUAAUUUUUCUUUUCCCUCUUUUGGACAGGUGCAUGAAAUAGAAACUCGUAAUCUAUAGUCAAGCUUUAUUAAUGAAAUGUGGAAACUAAACUCCAAUAGGAAAAAUUCAUUUAUAUUUAGCUCAUUCAAUAACACAAACAACAACAAUGGUUAAUCACUACACUCUUAACAUUUGCCAUACAUGGAUAUUCAAAAUGAAAUAGUUAUACAUAACAAUCUUCCAAUUAGUGCAUCAAAACAGAGAUGCAUCUACACGUACCUAACCUCUCCAGUAAAAGCACCAUUGAAAUAUAUAUCUCGUCCCCCAUUUGCAUUAACUAAACACAGCAUAACUACUAGCAUUCAAAUCAAAUCUAACAACCUUUCAAGUCAAGGAAUCAGAAAGUCUAACUCAGUAGAAACACUUAAUUUUAAAGAAAGUUACUCCGAAGUACAAUAGAAUAAGAUCUAUCUCGGAUUUAUAUGCAUGUAACUCAUAAUAAUAAUACUUAAAAAUAAAGCACUGAAAUGUUAGAUCUAAAGGGAACGAUUGCAAAAACAAAACGAAGUGAAACAAACAAAGAAAAUGAAAUGAAAACCUGUAGUGAAAGCUUAAGCUUACCCCCCUCCCUCGGUAAGACAUGGCUGCAAGAGAUCUAGACGGAAUAUGAAGUUGAUUUAGAGAGAGAGGUCGGGAGGGAGGGAGAAGAAGGAGAAUCAGAUUGAAGAGAAGAAUUUAUGUGGCUUAAAACGAUUAAGAAAAAUAUCCCUGCUACCGUCACAUAAUGCAAGCUGUAAACAAUAAAUUGCUAUUUGAAAACGACAAAUUUGAAACUUUACAGCUAUUUAGUUGGUACUCCUAACUCAAAUUUUAUAUAAUAUUAUUUUUUUUCCUUUCACCUAUCUCAUUAAAAUCUU